AUUUCUUCCGAGGUAGUGCAUGGGUAGCGUUAGCGUUUGCGGAUGUUCAGGGAGACGCUAUCAGCGCCUGUGGAACUGUUUGGGGACGUUCUGUGCUCACGUGAAGGUUAUGUGUGCACGUUGUAAACCAUGAACGUGUUCGGCCAGUAUUUUCUUACAGUAAAUCGAACAUAAGUUCUUCUUCUUUCUGUUGGUUGGCUCGGAGACUGUCCUGUCCCAUGCGGCCAAGAAACAUAAGUUAAUCGAACGGAUUGAAUGUUAGACAAGGGAACGUAAGUUAAUCCUCAGGAAAUUAACGGUCUCUCCCAAUUUAUGGAGGGGAAUCGAGAACAAUUUUUAUUGUUAUUAGCGUUACAAAUACGCGAACAAAUAGCAGAUGUAUCAUCGAGUGAUAGUGAUAAUGAGGAAUUCGUAAUGUUAGAAACUGUAUUACGUACUAGAAGAAAAAUACCCAGAGUACCGUAUUAUGUUGAAACAAUAGUGCCGACAAUGACAAAUCAAGAUUUCAAGUCUCACUUCAGAAUGCGUCCUGGAACUUUUGAAUACUUGCUGUCCAUCAUUGGUCCUAAAUUACAAAGAGAAACAGGAGGAACGCCAAUGAUUUCUCCACAUAAACAAUGUUUAUUGGCAUUGUGGAGACUGGCCACUCCAGAUUCUUUGAGGUAAAGAAUAAGCUUAUUAAGCAUAGAGUUCUGCAUAAUCAACGAUAUCAGUAGGUCUAUUCUCAUAACUCAUAACGACAGUUCAUUAUUGUUACAAUAUCGUUGUGCAGUAUUUUUACUAUGUGAAAAAGUUGCGCAACAACAUUAUAACGAUGACGAACUGUCAGUAAGAGUUACAGAAUGGGCCUACAGUUGUCGCAA